CCUCCUUUCUCCCACAUCUAACUCUCUCUCUCUGACUAAAUCUCCCCCUCUCUCUCUCCGCCGAAGUUCGGCCACGGCGUCACCGGCGAGGAUGCCGGCAGCUGGGGCGUCUCCCUCCCUCUUCGUCCUCUCUCUCCCGGUCUCUCCUUCUCUCUCGGUCUCUCUCUGUUUCUCGACCGACGGAGCUCGGCUGCCUCCGGAGAGGAGCCUCCGUUGCCGGCGUCCGCCCGUCACUCGAUCUCUGCCGCCUCGUCCAUUUUCAAGUACGUUUCUUUAUCACAAACCACUCCAUACCUUAACACACACACAAACUCAUCUCCUCCUUCAUUCAUGGUCAAAAACUAGUGUCGGGGUGCGGUCGGCUCGCCGGUGUGCGCGAGACCAGCCGCCGUUGACUUGCGGGCGUUGGGCAGUGGCGGAAGUGGCGAAGAAGAAAGCUGAGGGGCAGCAGCGGUGGCUGCCACCGUGUGACAGCAGCGGCGUCGGCGUGUACGGCUGCCAAACGGAGCAGCUGUGUGCGUGUGGCUGUCGAGAGUGCAGCAAGGUGUGCGUGGCUGCCUUGUGACUGCAGCAGCGGCUGCCCGGCAGAGGCAGCAGCGGCAUCGUCCGGCAGGGGCAUCGGCUUUAUUAAUUCUAAGCUAUACUCUCAUCUUGAGGGAUUUUGUGGAAGAACAAAAGAAUUAAGGGUAGAGAUGGUGUGGUAUUUAUAGUGGAAAAUGAUACAUGGAAAAACAUGGUCAAUUCCCUAACCCAUGGAAGCAAACUAUUACACAAGAGAUAAUGACUUUUGCUAAAAGGGGUAUCGGGGUUCAAGGCGUGACUAUUAAGCAAGAUCUGGAGGGCAUGAAGAGUAUUUUUAUUUUUAUUUUUACUCUAAUGUUGAACGUGAUGUAGAACGUGUACAAACUUUUAUUUGAAGCUCGGUCUUCAUGGACUUUAAGAAUCUUAAAUAUUGUAAUAACACUAUUUUCAUUUACUUAUUCAAAAAUUACUUCGCAACGAUUAAUCA